GAUGAACGCCGGCGGUGUGCCUAAUACAUGCAAGUCGAACGCGUUGGCCUAAUUGAUUGAUGGUGCUUGCUCCUGAUUGAUUUUGGUCGCCAACGAGUGGCGGACGGGUGAGUAACACGUAGGUAACCUGCCCAGAAGCGGGGGACAACAUUUGGAAACAGAUGCUAAUACCGCAUAACAGCGUUGUUCGCAUGAACAACGCUUAAAAGAUGGCUUCUCGCUAUCACUUCUGGAUGGACCUGCGGUGCAUUAGCUUGUUGGUGGGGUAACGGCCUACCAAGGCGAUGAUGCAUAGCCGAGUUGAGAGACUGAUCGGCCACAAUGGAACUGAGACACGGCCCAUACUCCUACGGGAGGCAGCAGUAGGGAAUCUUCCACAAUGGGCGCAAGCCUGAUGGAGCAACACCGCGUGAGUGAAGAAGGGUUUCGGCUCGUAAAGCUCUGUUGUUAAAGAAGAACACGUAUGAGAGUAACUGUUCAUACGUUGACGGUAUUUAACCAGAAAGUCACGGCUAACUACGUG
rnacentral:rRNA from 1 species